GACGAACGCUGGCGGCGUGCUUAACACAUGCAAGUCGAACGGAAAGGCCCUGCUUUUGUGGGGUGCUCGAGUGGCGAACGGGUGAGUAACACGUGAGUAACCUGCCCUUGACUUUGGGAUAACUUCAGGAAACUGGGGCUAAUACCGGAUAGGAGCUCCUGCUGCAUGGUGGGGGUUGGAAAGUUUCGGCGGUUGGGGAUGGACUCGCGGCUUAUCAGCUUGUUGGUGGGGUAGUGGCUUACCAAGGCUUUGACGGGUAGCCGGCCUGAGAGGGUGACCGGCCACAUUGGGCCUGAGAUACGGCCCAGACUCCUACGGGAGGCAGCAGUGGGGAAUAUUGCACAACGGGCGGAAGCCUGAUGCAGCAACGCCGCGUGCGGGAUGACGGCCUUCGGGUUGUAAACCGCUUUCGCCUGUGACGAAGCGGGAGUGACGGUAAUGGGUAAAGAAGCACCGGCUAACUACGUG
rnacentral:rRNA from 1 species